rnacentral:rRNA from 1 species
UGCGUAACAGCUCACUAGUCGAAUGACUCUGCGCCGAUAAUUUACCGGGGCUAAGCAUACUACCGAAGCUAUGGAUCCCAAGGGAUGGUAGGGGAGCGUUCCAUGAACGGAGAAGUACGACCGAAAGGACGUGUGGAGAUCAUGGAAGAGAGAAUGCCGGUGUGAGUAGCGGAACGUGGGUGAGAAUCCCACGCACCGAAAACCCAAGGUUUCCAGAGGAAGGUUCGUCCGCUCUGGGUAAGUCGGGACCUAAGGCGAGGCCGAAAGGCGUAGUCGAUGGACAACAGGUAGAGAUUCCUGUACCCGUAUAUAUGUGAAGGAAUGACGGAGAGAGGAAGCUGCAGCCAGCGGCUGGAAGAGCUGGUGCAAGCGAGAUAUCGGGAUGGCAGGCAAAUCCACCAUCCGAAACGAGAAGGCGUGAAGCGUACGGAAAGCUACGGCGAGUACGGAAGGCAGUGGAGGAACUUCCAAGAAAAGUUUCUAACGUUAAGUAUAUAUGGCCCGUACCGAAAAUGGACACACAUGGGUGAGGAGAGAAUCCUAAGGUGAGCGAGAGAACUAUAGCUAAGGAACUCUGCAAAAUGACUCCGUAACUUAGGGAGAAGGAGUGCUCAUAGAGAUAUGAGCCGCAGUGAAACGGCCCAAGCGACUGUUUACCAAAAACACAGCUCUCUGCUAAGCCGCAAGGCGAAGUAUAGGGGGUGACGCCUGCCCGGUGCUGGAAGGUUAAGGGGAGGGGUUAACGCAAGUGAAGCCCUGAACUGAAGCCCCAGUAAACGGCGGCCGUAACUAUAACGGUCCUAAGGUAGCGAAAUUCCUUGUCAGGUAAGUUCUGACCCGCACGAAAGGCGUAACGAUUUGGGCGCUGUCUCAGCUGUAGACUCGGUGAAGUCUUAGUACCUGUGAAGAUGCAGGUUACCCGCGACUAGACGGAAAGACCCCAUGGAGCUUCACUGCAGGUUGAUAUUGGGAUUUGAUGCAGCAUGUACAGGAUAGGUAGGAGGCAAAGAGAUGGAUACGCCAGUAUUCAAGGAGCCGCUGUUGGGAUACUACCCCUGUUGUAUUGGAUUUCUAACCGGACGACGUAGAGCCGUUGACGGGACAGUGUCAGUCGGGCAGUUUGACUGGGGCGGUCGCCUCCCAAAGAGUAACGGAGGCGCCCAAAGAUACCCUCAGCUUGGAUGGAAACCAAGCGCAGAGUGCAAAGGCAAAAGGGUGUUUGACUGCGAGACCCACAAGUCGAGCAGGGACGAAAGUCGGGCUUAGUGAUCCGGCGGUGCUGAAUGGAAAGGCCGUCGCUCAACGGAUAAAAGCUACCCUGGGGAUAACAGGCUGAUCUCCCCCAAGAGUUCACAUCGACGGGGAGGUUUGGCACCUCGAUGUCGGCUCAUCGCAUCCUGGAGCUGAAGUCGGUUCCAAGGGUUGGGCUGUUCGCCCAUUAAAGCGGUACGCGAGCUGGGUUCAGAACGUCGUGAGACAGUUCGGUCCCUAUCUGUCGUGGGCGCAGGAAAUUUGAGAAGAGCUGUCCUCAGUACGAGAGGACCGGGAUGGACGCAUCAAUGGUGGACCAGUUGUCACGCCAGUGGCAUAGCUGGGUAGCUAAAUGCGGAAGGGAUAAACGCUGAAGGCAUCUAAGUGUGAAACCCACUUCAAGAUGAGAUUUCCCAUUGCGCAAGCAAGUAAGACCCCUUAAAGACGAUAAGGUAGAUAGGUCAGGAGUGUAAGCAUGGUGACAUGUUAAGCGGACUGAUACUAAUAGGUCGAGGGCUUGACCGA